rnacentral:tRNA from 2 species
GGAGGAGUAGCGAAGAGGCUAAACGCGGCGGACUGUAAAUCCGCUCCUUCGGGUUCAUAGGUUCGAAUCCUAUCUCCUCCAUCA